rnacentral:rRNA from 1 species
UACAGAGGUCUCAAGCGUUGUUCGGAUUCAUUGGGCGUAAAGGGUGCGUAGGCGGUCUGUUGCGUCGGCUGUGAAAACCCGGGGCUCAACUCCGGGCCUGCAGCCGAUACGGGCAGACUAGAGUUCGGCAGGGGAGACUGGAAUUCCUGGUGUAGCGGUGAAAUGCGCAGAUAUCAGGAGGAACACCUGCGGUGUAGACGGCUUUCUGGACCAUUGCUGACGCUGAGACACGAAAGCGUGGGUAGCAAACAGG